rnacentral:rRNA from 1 species
AGAGAGAGACAUGCGCGCAUAUCAAUAAGCGGAGGAAAAGAAACUAACUAGGAUUCCCUCAGUAACGGCGAGUGAAGCGGGAAGAGCUCAAAUUUGAAAUCUUCAAGGUUCUACCUUGACGAAUUGUAGUUUAAAGAAGUGUUUUCUGUUGGAGUUUUGGUAAAAGUUCUUUGGAAUAGGACAUCAUAGAGGGUGAGAAUCCCGUAUUUGACCAUUAUUUCCAGCUUUGUGAUACACUUUCAAAGAGUCGGAUUGUUUGGGAAUGCAGUCCAAAAUGGGUGGUAAAUUUCAAUCUAAAGCUGAAUAUCUGGCGAGAGACCGAUAGCGAACAAGUACCGUGAGGGAAAGAUGAAAAGAACUUUGAAAAGAGAGUUAAACAGUACGUGAAAUUGUCAAAAGGGAAGCGUUUGACACCAGUGUUGUUUUCUCGAAAAUCAAUUAAAAAAGGCAGGAUUUUGUGUUGUAUUGACUUUAUCAGCUUUCUGCACUCUUUUCUUGUCUUUUUUAAUGCACUUUUCGUUUAACAAGUCAACAUCAAUUUCUUUUGUUGUAAAAGGGUCAUUGGAAGGUGGCUUUCUUUUCGGAGAAAGUGUUUAUAGCCUUUGGCCUCUGCAAUCGGAGAGAUUGAGGUCUGCAGCGUAGAUCCUUCGGGGUUAGAUACAUUUGUGCUAAGUUAUAGCCUUUCAUAGACAACUUGUUGACUAUGAUCAGUCAUGUAGCUUACUCGCUUAUGCUAUUUUACCUACGCUUAGGAUGUUGAUGUGAUACUGCGAGCA